rnacentral:rRNA from 1 species
AUGAACGCUGGCGGCGUGCCUAAUACAUGCAAGUCGAGCGAACAGACGAGGAGCUUGCUCCUCUGACGUUAGCGGCGGACGGGUGAGUAACACGUGGAUAACCUACCUAUAAGACUGGGAUAACUUCGGGAAACCGGAGCUAAUACCGGAUAAUAUAUUGAACCGCAUGGUUCAAUAGUGAAAGACGGUUUUGCUGUCACUUAUAGAUGGAUCCGCGCCGCAUUAGCUAGUUGGUAAGGUAACGGCUUACCAAGGCGACGAUGCGUAGCCGACCUGAGAGGGUGAUCGGCCACACUGGAACUGAGACACGGUCCAGACUCCUACGGGAGGCAGCAGUAGGGAAUCUUCCGCAGUGGGCGAAAGCCUGACGGAGCAACGCCGCGUGAGUGAUGAAGGUCUUCGGAUCGUAAAACUCUGUUAUUAGGGAAGAACAAAUGUGUAAGUAACUAUGCACGUCUUGACGGUACCUAAUCAGAAAGCCACGGCUAACUACGU